CCGGAUGCCUUCGAUACCGGGUCCGGCGCGAGCUUCCAGGCGAUACUCCUGGCGGCUCCCUUCGUAUCCAUCUUGCUCUUUGGAGGACUUGGCUAUGAGGA
rnacentral:sRNA from 1 species